rnacentral:rRNA from 1 species
UGGGAAUAUUGGACAAUGGGCGCAAGCCUGAUCCAGCAAUGCCGCGUGAGUGAUGAAGGCCUUAGGGUGUAAAGCUCUUUCGCACGCGACGAUGAUGACGGUAGCGUGAGAAGAAGCCCCGGCUAACUUCGUGCCAGCAGCCGCGGUAAUACGAAGGGGGCUAGCGUUGUUCGGAAUUACUGGGCGUAAAGGGCGCGUAGGCGGCCUGUUUAGUCAGAAGUGAAAGCCCCGGGCUCAACCUGGGAAUAGCUUUUGAUACUGGCAGGCUUGAGUUCCGGAGAGAUGGUGGAAUUCCCAGUNUAGAGGUGAAAUUCGUAGAUAUUGGGAAGAACACCGGUGGCGAAGGCGGCCAUCUGGACGGACACUGACGCUGAGGCGCGAAAGCGUGGGGAGCAAACAGAUUAGAUCCCUGGUAGUCCANGCCCGUAAACGAUGAAUGCUAGACGUCGGGGUGAUGCACUUCGGUGUCGCCGCUAACGCAUUAAGCAUUCCGCCUGGGGAGUACGGCCGCAAGGUUAAAAC